CACAUACGGGAAGCGCAAGGUCUGGGCUGCGGCAAGAUGCCGGCUCAGAAGACGAGGUGAAGGUGAGCGAGUUUCUGCGGAUGCCUUCCGGUGGCGGCACCCACCGACCCGGCCCCACGGUCUGAC
rnacentral:ncRNA from 2 species